UUCGGGGGGACGAGGGUGACAGGUGGUGCAUGGUUGUCGUCAGCUCGUGUCGUGAGAUGUGGUUAAGUCCCGCAACGAGCGCAACCCUCGACCUUAGUUGCCAGCAUUCAGUUGGGCACUCUAAGGUGACUGCCGGCUAAAAGUCGGAGGAAGGUGGGGAUGACGUCAAAUCAUCAUGCCCCUUAUGACCUGGGCUACACACGUGCUACAAUGGGCGGUACAAAGGGUCGCGAACCCGCGAGGGGGAGCCAAUCCCAAAAAGCCGCUCUCAGUUCGGAUUGCAGGCUGCAACUCGCCUGCAUGAAGCCGGAAUCGCUAGUAAUCGCGGAUCAGCAUGCCGCGGUGAAUACGUUCCCGGGCCUU
rnacentral:rRNA from 1 species